UCUUCUUGCGCAGCUUAGGUGGAAGGCUGAGAAAGGCAAUUCCGGUUGUCUGGAGCCAUCAGUGAGAUACCACUCUGGGAGAGCUAGGAGUCUAAUGGCGUUCCUUGAAUCAGGACGCUUGACAGUUUCAGGUGGGCAGUUUUACUGGGGCGGUAGCCUCCUAAAAGGUAACGGAGGCGUGCAAAGGUUCCCUCAGGCUGGACGGAAAUCAGCCAUAGAGUGUAAAGGCAGAAGGGAGCUUGACUGCAAGACCUACAAGUCGAGCAGGGACGAAAGUCGGCCUUAGUGAUCCGACGGUGCCGUGUGGAAGGGCCGUCGCUCAACGGAUAAAAGUUACUCUAGGGAUAAC
rnacentral:rRNA from 1 species